CAUGCAGGCGGUUAAACAAGUAGGAUGUGAAAGCCCGGGGCUCAACCUCGGAAUUGCAUUCUAAACUGUGUAACUAGAGUAUUGCAGGGGGAGACGGAAUUCCAGGUGUAGCGGUGGAAUGCGUAGAGAUCUGGAAGAACACCAAAGGCGAAGGCAGUCUCCUGGGCAAAUACUGACGCUCAUAUGCGAAAGCGUGGGUAGCAAACA
rnacentral:rRNA from 1 species